rnacentral:rRNA from 2 species
GCAAUGCCGCGUGUGUGAAGAAGGCCUUCGGGUUGUAAAGCACUUUUGUCCGGAAAGAAAUCCUUGGCUCUAAUACAGUCGGGGGAUGACGGUACCGGAAGAAUAAGCACCGGCUAACUACGUGCCAGCAGCCGCGGUAAUACGUAGGGUGCGAGCGUUAAUCGGAAUUACUGGGCGUAAAGCGUGCGCAGGCGGUUUGCUAAGACCGAUGUGAAAUCCCCGGGCUCAACCUGGGAACUGCAUUGGUGACUGGCAGGCUAGAGUAUGGCAGAGGGGGGUAGAAUUCCACGUGUAGCAGUGAAAUGCGUAGAGAUGUGGAGGAAUACCGAUGGCGAAGGCAGCCCCCUGGGCCAAUACUGACGCUCAUGCACGAAAGCGUGGGGAGCAAACAGGAUUAGAUACCCUGGUAGUCCACGCCCUAAACGAUGUCAACUAGUUGUUGGGGAUUCAUUUCCUUAGUAACGUAGCUAACGCGUGAAGUUGACCGCCUGGGGAGUACGGUCGCAAGAUUAAAACUCAAAGGAAUUGACGGGGACCCGCACAAGCGGUGGAUGAUGUGGAUUAAUUCGAUGCAACGCGAAAAACCUUACCUACCCUUGACAUGGUCGGAAUCCUGCUGAGAG